rnacentral:rRNA from 1 species
AUGAACGCUGGCGGCGUGCCUCAUCCAUGCCCGUCGAGCGAACAGACGAGGAGCUUGCUCCUCUGACGUUAGCGGCGGACGGGUGAGUAACACGUGGAUAACCUACCUAUAAGACUGGGAUAACUUCGGGAAACCGGAGCUAAUACCGGAUAACAUGUUGAACCGCAUGGUUCAACAGUGAAAGACGGUCUUGCUGUCACUUAUAGAUGGAUCCGCGCCGCAUUAGCUAGUUGGUAAGGUAACGGCUUACCAAGGCAACGAUGCGUAGCCGACCUGAGAGGGUGAUCGGCCACACUGGAACUGAGACACGGUCCAGACUCCUACGGGAGGCAGCAGUAGGGAAUCUUCCGCAAUGGGCGAAAGCCUGACGGAGCAACGCCGCGUGAGUGAAGAAGGUCUUCGGAUCGUAAAACUCUGUUAUUAGGGAAGAACAAAUGUGUAAGUAACUAUGCACGUCUUGACGGUACCUAAUCAGAAAGCCACGGCUAACUACGUG